GGGUGCAGGGCCCGGUCCGCGGCACUUGUUUAUUGUCGCGCCGCUGGUGCGAGCCAAGCUGCAGCAGACAUGAUGGCCCGGGGCGAAGCAGGAGCCCAGUGGCCGGUAGGUGGCAGCCGAGGGCGAAGGCGUCCCUGGGCUCUGGAGGCAUAGCCAGAACCCCCUUAGAUGUCACAUUCGUGGAGACAGAGGAGUCUUGGACCAUGUGCGCAACUGGAGCGUAGGAGUGUGCACUCGUCUUCUCGGAAAGGAAGGGCUGGAAAUAACCCUGACAGUGUUAGGCUUGGUGGCGAUCAGGGACAGAUGACUCUUACCGGUAGCCGUUUGCCCAAAUGCUUCUGCCCUUUGGAAGAGUCUUUGUGGCAGUGUGAGUUGUCUCCAGUAAGGGACCCUGGAGGGAGUGGCUCAUCCUAGCUAUAAAGAGUGUGUUAUUUUUAUCUUUUUUUUUUAAAGAAUCACUUUUUCUAAGUAUGUCGGAGUGAUUGAGCAGAGAGAAAAAUGAAUACCCUAAGCGAACUAGAAAUCUGGAAAGAACCGAAAUAGAGGCAGUGUCUCAUGACACUUUACUUGAGGACUCACCUGAUGAACUGCUGAUCAACUCUAUAGAUUCCUUCACCUAACCAGAACUGACUUCAUCAGAGAGUUAUGAUGGUUAACUCUAUCAGUCUUCUACCUGAAUGCCCCAAGAUAUUGAUGAAGUCAACAAAAACAUUGAGCCUCAGAACACAAGAAAUCUUGGACAAACUGGGAGACAGCUUGUCAGUAUCUAAGGUUGCCAUCUGGAGUUUUAAGUAAUUGUCUACUACUGAAGAAACAAGACCCAGCAGACCCUCAGAUGGAACUGAAGUAAAUGCCUUAUCCUUGACGAGUAGUUUUGAUGUUACCAGAAAUUACAAUAAAAGCUUCCUAAAGAUGGAAACAACCAAAAAUUCCACCUAAGUUUAUACCUAUGAACCCCCAAAAUGACUAGAACAUCAAGAUACUUCUAAAGGUGUAGCAGUAGUAUGCCAAACUUGCUAGUAGCUAAAGUUCUCUAAUUGGACUUAAGAUUCAUACAACAAGAGGGAAACUAUUCCUGUUACCUAAAACCCUUAAAUUUCUUGGUGCUAGUGACUUCAUCAAUUUCAGGGAAGAACCAACAACCCCCUCUUUAACAAAUCAGCACAAUAACAACUACAUAUAAAUGUUUGUCAUUAUACCUCCAUAGAAGUAUAGUCCUGACUGUUCAUUAACAAGUGCUUUUUACAACAGACAGAGACCAUUGCAGGGACCUAUAACCAAUCAAAAUACAAGAGUUGAGGAGCUCAGUCCCAUUGAAUACAUCUACAUAACAAUUUCUGUACCAAAAGCUCAGGGAAUAUUGUGGAAGAGGGAGUGGAAAAACUGUCAAGAGUCAGAGGUCAGGGAAGUGGAUCUGAGCUUGUGUUGACACUGAAAUAGUUGACUUGUGGUUUAUUCAUUAUUUACAAACAGUUCAAAGUUUUGAAGAUUGUAUUAACAAGGAUUGUCCUUAUAAGAUAUGACUUGAUAUUAGAACUAAAAUUUUUUCCAGCAGAAUGAAGGUUUUAAAAAGGUAAUCUGUUCAGGCAUCAUCAGAAAUUUACACUGCAUUCUCUAAAAUGUACACUAUGUCUGGGUGUUUUCUGGUCAUGUUGAGGCAAGUAAAGGGGAGGCUACGUGCCUGAGGUUCUUUCUGUUUCCAGCGUUCUUGUGAAUCCAACUGAGGCUUUACCUAGAGACAAUUCUCAAAACUGACUAGGAAAAAAAACUGUGCCCAUACCAGUCACAGCCAUCUGUCAGCCAACUGAUUAUAUAAUUAUGGAAUGUCAUUGAACAACCAACGGAAAUCCCUAGGGAUAGAGUAAUUUUUUCACGUUCCCUCAGAAUUCUGCACAUGAAGGCUCCUUUCCCACACUGCUCUGAGGGAAGUUCUCUGACCCUUUACAGUCUUGCCUGAUGUGUCUUGUUACUCUUGGUCAACAGAACCUUUGCUAAAUUUAUUUUGUCAAAAGACUUUAGUUUACUCAUAUAGUUACAAUGAAUAGGAGACUGGAAAAGCUAGCUGCCUAUGAUUUAGUCUAUCUAAAGUUCUUAGCAUAUGCCUAUAUCCCAUUUACAUUAGUAGGCAUUUGGCAUCCAGUACCAUCCCCUUCCUCACCAGUUUCCACUUGCUUUCCAUGGGUUCAAUAAUUUAGUGGACCUACUUUAUAUAGGUUAUAUGUCAUUCUGCAGAGAAUGGCACAGUCUCACUAUCUUGGCUCUGAGCCACUAAAGAACUGAACCACCUUUUGGUCUGAUAUCUCUAAGCUGCAUGUUAACCACUGGCUGACCAUUUAAUGGUGACCGUGGUUAUCAGGUUGAAUGUUUCACAUAUCAGUGCCUGUGUUCAGUGAGUCUUGCAGGGUAGCCUAACCAUGUAUUACAAGGCUGAUGUCAUUUUCCUCACCAUAUUUCUCCAGAAGAUCAUGCCACCUUAUAUCAUCAGAGGAAACGGGCAAAGGUUGUUCACAAUAUAGUUUUAUAAAAGAGUAUCAGGUUUAUAUUACUCUCAUUAUAAGCAUUGCUACCUUGUUCUACUUUAUUUUUCAUUCCACUUAAUCUCUUACUGUACCUAACUUAUACACAUUAUUAUGUACAUGUUCAUGAAAAAGGUAAUCUCUGAAAUACCAAGUACCCAUUAAAAUCUUAGAGGACAACCCUGUAUAAAAGGAUUGCUGCCUUUGUGCCAGUAUCAUAUUAUCAUGUCUAUAUGAUUUUUUUAUAUCAAAGAGUCCUGUGUUUAUGAACUAUACCACCUUACUUCUACAGCAUCAGAUACUAAGUGAGGUCCAUGAGUCUGCUAGCCACAUUAUAUAUUCUUUACAAUGGUUUUUAAGGCUAGCAUGAUGUUUCAUAAUAUAACAGCAUAUCCUAAAAACCAGCAAAACCUUACAUAAUAAUCUAAACUAAUUAAAUUUUAAAAGUUUCUAACAUGAGAUACUCAUAAAACAUUUGUAUAGAAUGUAAUCUGAAAGGGGCAAAGUUGCUGGUGUUUUUCAGUGACAGAGAAGAGAAGCUAUUUUUCUAAUGCAGAGUGAUCAGCUUCGUUCUUUCCAGCAUAUGAUCAAGUUAGGAACUCACAAGUGGGAAUUAUCUCUGAACAGUUUUAAGAACAUUGCAUGCUUUGCUGUAUUAAUUUUCAUUAUGUUAUGGCCUUGUUAGUGAUUUAUAAUUUUCAUUAUAAUGUGACUAAAUUGAGAACAGGACACAAAGUAGCAUAUUCAAAAUUGCAUUAGUAUUUAAUGAUGUUAGGAUACAACGCUAUUUAAAAUUUAUCUGAAGCUAACUGUUCACAGAGUUUGUACUCCUUAACCCUAAGCAUCGCACCCCCGACGCAGGACGACAAUACUAUUCAUCCAGUAGUGGUGGAUGUUGUAGUGUUAGGGACGGGUGGCCACGAGCCCUAGAAAUAUCGGUAGAAAUAUUACUUCUUGCCAUACAUAUGACUUACUUAUCAUGUUUUGAAGAAAUAGUGUAGAAAACUCUAUGAAAGUGUUCACCCUUGACCUUAUAUGACAGCCAUAUGUGGAAAAUAUGUUGAGAUAUAUUGAGCAAAAUAAUUAAUCUCAACACUAGGGAGGUAGAAGCAGAAACAGUUAGAUCUCUGUGAACUCAAGGCAAGCCUGGUCUACAAAGUGGGUUCUAAGAGUAACAGGGCUACCAUAUCUUAAAAAAAAAUUAAAAUUAAUUUCACCCUUAUUUUUAAUCCCUUAAAGUUUCUUAACAUUUCCAACAUAGCUAGUGAGGAAUCAAAUACUAACUUUCAAAAGAAAUUUAAAUUUUGACCACAGUAAUUAUUAUAUUGUAGCAGAAUUUAUUUCUUGUACUGUACUCUAUUGUCAAAACAAUGUAAUUGUAGCACAAUAGAGUACAGCACAAUUUGGAGUUUUGUGAUAAUUUGUAUCUGGUGAUAUUAAUUGGGCUAUUAUCAUUUUAAUAGUUAAAAUAUUUGAGAAUCUAUUGAAAAAUUUAAAAAAUGGCAACAUAGGUCUUUAUGCACAUUGUAUAUUUGAGGGUUGUAUAUGUGUGUUUGUGCACUUGUGUGUGUAUGUGAGUGUGUUUACAUUUAUAUCAUUAGAGUUUAUUUAUAUAUGUAUAUAUGUAUGUUUAUGUAUGUAAGUGAAUAUAUAUGUAUGUUUGUACUUUGACCAGUGUGGAGAUACUAGACUUAUAUAAGUCCACCAUUACAGUAUUUGCCAUAAGCACAUUCUCUAAACUCUAGCAAGAAUAUCAUUGUUAAAACAAUAUCAUGACAUUUUAUUAAAUGCUUGCUGGUAUAAAUUACUACUCUAUUUUUGACAUCACCUGAUUAAACAUUCCAUAUUCUGUAUUGCAUUAUAAUGAUAUUGUUGAUAUCAUUACUUCAAAAAUAAGUGAUCUGGAGCCAGACAUGAUAGGUCAUGUUUGUAAUUCCAGUGAUCAAAAGGCUGAGCCAAUAGGAUCACAUGAAUUUGAGGCCAGCCUAUUUUGUAUAGUGUGUUUAAGUCCUAGUUGCAAUAGAGAAUGAAACCUUCUUUCUAACACCAUGGCAACAAUGUAACUGAAUGGAGCCAACAGAGUUAAAUAAACUUCUGAGUCUCGAAGGAAUAGUAAAGGAUGAUAAUGUUAUAAUGAAAGACAAGAAGAGUUGUGAUUCAUAGAGAAAGACCCUUAAACAAAGGGAAGAAUUUUAUGUUUGGCUAAUUAUUACUGAUUUAUAAGCUACUUUGAAUAAAACACUGUGAUAUUUUUCCUUCAUGUCUUUAAUGUAUUUUAUAGUGGACAUUAAUUCUCAAAUAUUUCUCAUUUUAAAUGCUAUGUUUACUUAUUAGUAAAUUCAAGCUUGUAAUUUUCUUCUGUGAUAAAUAGAUGAUGGAUAGGAAGACGGAUGAUAAAAUGUUUACGGCAUUGUAUAAAUGACAGUCAAACCCUGGGAAUUGCUGAAACGGUUCUGAGAAAAAGCUAUAAUUGGAAAUUAUAUGGCUUUAUUAUAUAACCAGAAAAAGAAAGAUCAUAAAUCUACUUAUAUUGUUAACAGUAAGCACUCAUAUAAUUGCUUUUUAAUUAAUAUGUAAUAAAUUGCUUCAACUGUCACUUUAAUUAAAUAUACAGUAUCUGAGUAUUUGGAGUGUUUGUGAAAUCUGUGAUAAAUUGUAUCAUUGAAAGCUCCUUUUAUACUUCAUUUGGUUGUGCACACUAAGAUGAAAAAUUUUGUAAGAAGAAAAAUCCCUGUUCAAAAUAUUUACCUUCAAAUUAUGUCACUCGAAUAUACACAAUUAUUCAGAUGGAUAGGAUCGCUUAUUUGAAAAUUUAACAAUGUUUAAAACUUUAGUUUAUAUUGUCAAAUGUUCUAUCUCUAUUUUAUUGAUGGAGACCUAGGGUGUUCAUUAAGAUUUUACCAGUUUGUAUGUGCAAAGCUCCAUAUGUGUUCUUAUGAAUUACAGAUUACUUCCCACUCCUCUUCUGGACAUUGGAAUGGAAAGUGAUUUACAUUUAUGCAAACCCAUUAUGCUGUUUUUCAGGCAUUUUAUAUAAUAGUUUUAAGAGAUUAGAAGUGACAACAGCCAUAAAAAGGGAAAUAACCAUUAUAAAAUCGAAUCUGAAUCCAUGACAAUUUGUGGGAAAGUAUUGUCUUUUCUUACUCAGUUUUCCCCCCAUGUACCUCUUAGUAUAUCUAAAUGGCAAACCAUUUUCUACUUUUCUACUUAAAAAUACUCUUUAUUGAAUAAAGGAAAAGUAUUGCCAUUUUUGGAGCUGAAAGAAAGUUGUUCCAUACCAUUUUUCACUGAUACAUAACUAUAUUUCACAGAAUUUCGCCAGGACUUACAUUUUCUCAUUAAUGUAAAUAAAAAUAUUAUUUGGUAUUAUACUUAGAAUAUGUAUAAUAUUAAACAAUAUUCAAAAGUAUGUGAAAUAAACAUUGGCAUUACAACAUCAGAAACAUAAAUACUGAUAGAAUUACAUGCAUUAAUAUCUUUGUAUAUUGAUUAUAAAUAAACUUUAAUGUAAUCAGUAAUUCUUAGUACUGCUAAGUUGUUCUGGAAUUUGUUUAUCUUUAGAAUUUAUUCAAAAUUAUAAAUGCAUGAUUACACCCAUCAUUCUAACAUAUAUAUGUAUACAAUGUAUAUGCACAUUGUACAUUAUAUACAUUAUAUAUUCAUUUAUACACACACAAACACACAUAUGUAUAUUUCAACAUUUUAGAAUGAGCUGGUUGAAUUGAGACCAAGUUUGUCAUUAAUUUUAAAUCAGUUUACAUAGAAGAGAUAGUCUAGUAUAUUCUAUUCUACAGGGAAAUUUUGUUCAUGGCCUUUCCAUUAUACUAGCCUAUUUAAUUUGUUUUUGACAUUGUUAAAGCAACAUAAUAAAGAAUGUAUGGAGCAUACUAUGCUUUUUCCUAUCCACCUUUUCUCGUUUAGUUGUAUUUUUUUAGAUCAAAAUCUUUCUUCUAAAUUUGAUCUCAUACUUAAUUGCAUUCUUUUUAAACUUCAUUCAUACAGAAAUUCAAAACACUCUCAUUAAAUUGACUAUAAAACUUCAUAUGACAACAUCUCAGAGCCAUAGAUAUUGUCUCCCCAACCCCCCGUGCCUUCCAUGUGCAGCUAUACAAAUCCUUUUUUCCCAUUAAUUUAUUUACUUAUAAAUUUAACAUUCCAAUCACUCCCCCUCAUGGUCCCCCCUCACACAGAUGUUCCUCACAUUCUUUGUCCCACCUCUCCACUGAGAGGGCUGGGCCACCCUGGGUAUCCUCCCCUCUGUUACUACCAUGCUCAUGUGCAUUUAGAACACUGAUUUUCUGUCCUGCAUUUUCUUUGUCAGUUUUACCUAACAGAAGAACGUCUCCAGACUGUACAUAUUUCUUCACUGAGUUAUGGCACUGUUCUCCAAAACGCUCCAUAUAUAGAAAUCAAGAACAUCAUUUAAAUUUUGGAAGCCAAUGUCGGAUAUCAAUGUAAAUAUUCUUUCAAAGUAUGAAGUUUCCUGUGGAGAUGUUUUUCUUAUGAAAUAAGUGAAAUUAAUUUAUAACCUCACUGUAACUAAACAGUCUAACACAAUCAAGCUAGUCUAAAAUGAUAGCAUAGAGUUGCUAUUUACCAGGUUGUAAAUUUAUGGUUAAAAACAAUAUUACCUUGUUCUUCUUUCCUGUCAUAUCUAUUGUUUGUCCUUAAUUUCUAAGCAAGCAUAAUGGACACUAUUACAGAGUCUCAAGCUACUCAUUCUGUCCUACCAAUCUGUCUAAAUUCCCAACACUGAACUUGACUUAUAAGUUCUGCUGAAGGCUUUGUCUCUGAAGGCAGUUUGAGUCCUCACCAAUUGCAUGCGUAUACAAGUGGAUUCUCUUGAGAAAAGGUACUGUGAAUAUACCCAUCAUUUUCAACAUGAUUCAGAUUUCAACAUUAACUGGCAUCUUCCAAUUUUGAACAUGUCCUCUAAGGACCUGUAAGUGCCGGUAUCCCAUACUCAUUUUCUUUUUCCUUAGAGAUCUUUGAUUGAUAUCCCUCCACUUUGCUUUAAUUUAUUCUUUCACCAUUUCUGGCAGAUUUUUAUGCCUUCAAAAUCUGUCCCUGAAUUCCAGCCUUUCACUAAUCUCAUAUUACACCCAGUCUUGUUGCUGCAUUCCUAACUAUGUGGUGAUAAUUCUAAUCUUGCCAUCUCAAACCCUGUAUAUCUUUAAGAUAAGUCUACAUUUCCCUCUGCCACAAAGUCUCUUGAACUAUAAUUUUCUUCUUAUUUUUAAAUUAAUCUAUCAGGUAUUCAACAUAGAGCUAGUGUACAGGAAUUUGCAGUGAGGGCCAAAUGUCAUCAGAGGGAAAAAUCAAAAACAGAAACAUUUUUUUGUUUUCCAUAGCAACCGCUAACACAUUAUUUAAAACAAAAAUGAUCAUACAAAAUCAUGAACAUUUACUCAUACUUUAUAUGUAAACUGAGAACUGAGAGUUAGCACUAUAUUAACACUAGCAGAAAACACACUGUUAUUAGUAUUUAGGAGCCUCAUAGAUAACUGAUUGAUAACAUGAAGAGCUCACAUUCCCUGCCAACCUCACCCCAGCACACCCUGGAGUAUUGUCAUGGAUAUAUCUAGCUAUUCUUUCUAUUUCUAUUUCCAAUUGUUCAGAGAGCUCACUCAAUUUAUUUCACACAAUGGUUCAGAUCUGUCCUUUCCUUUCUAUUACCACUGCCACAGAACAGUCUCAAGGGUCCCAUGACCUUUCAUCCAGAGAAUUAUAGGAAACUUUUAUGUGAUUUAUUUUCUUCUAAAACUUUUCUUACAUUGUAUAUCCAAUACAUUCUCUUUUAAUGAUGUUUUCUUCUAAACCAGAAUUUUGACCAUCCAAAUUUGAAAGGAAUAUUUCCCAUUACUUUGAACUUAGAUAGAUAUGUAAAUAGAUAGUAGAUAAAUUGAUAAUAGAUAGGUAAUAAAUAAUAUGUAAAUUGUUUUCUGAAAUUCAGUAUUUUAUAUCAUAAUGUGGUAUUAUUUGCAAUGAUUUUCAAACAUACAUAUACCCUAAAGCAGUUCAAACUCACCUGUGUAAACUCAUUUUGUAUAUUAUUUCAUUUUCACUUCUGCUGGUGACAUAUGGUUAUCCCUCCUUCCUGUAGAAUUCAUGUUUUUAUUUAAUUUUUUCACCAGUCAUUUGGAAAGACUUCACUGUCUUUGCAUUAGCAAGAGAAGAGCCUAGAUAAUUUGGACUUUGCACGUUUGCUUUAUCUGCUUACCCACUCUACUUAUAUAAAUUCAUUUUAAAUGAACAUAUCAUCAGAUCUUCUGGUAGGAGGUACAGCCUCAGAAACAAGGGCCAGCAUUAAUUUGGCAGUCCAGAUUCUGUCAUCAUUCGAUCAUCACAGAUGAGGACUUCCAUAUUUCCAAAUAUUUUUUCUUUUGUUCUUCUAUUUUGAAAAAAGAACAUGAAUUGAAAAUAUCUAUAAUAAAAUAAAAUGAUGUGAAUUCUUACCCUAAAAAUGAGGAAAAUUAAACACAGGGCAAGGGAUUUUAAAUAUUACUUUUAUAUUUUGAAAAUACUUUUUCCUGUUUGAGUUUUACUGAAAUUAAAGAUUAAGAGCAAGAAAAAAAACAUAUUCAUGACAUUUAAAAGAUUUAAAAUGAGAUAAAAUUGUCUUUGGC